CAAUAGCGUAUAUUAAAGUUGUUGCGGUUAAAAAGCUCGUAGUUGGAUUUCUGCUGAGGAUGGCCGGUCCGCCCUGUGGGUGUGCAUCUGGCUCAGCCUUGGCAUCUUCCUGAAGAACGUAGUUGCACUUGACUGUGUGGUGCGGUAUUUAGGACAUUUACUUUGAGGAAAUUAGAGUGUUUCAAGCAAGCGCACGCCUUGAAUACAUUAGCAUGGAAUAAUAAGAUAGGACCUGGUUCUAUUUUGUUGGUUUCUAGAGCUGAGGUAAUGAUUGAUAGGGAUAGUUGGGGGCAUUCGUAUUUAACCGUCAGAGGUGAAAUUCUUGGAUUUGUUAAAGACGGACUACUGCGAAAGCAUUUGCCAAGGAUGUUUUCAUUGA
rnacentral:rRNA from 1 species